rnacentral:misc_RNA from 1 species
AGCAGCCGCGGUAAUUCCAGCUCCAAUAGCGUAUAUUAAAGUUGUUGCAGUUAAAAGGCUCGUAGUUGAACUUCGGGGUUCACCCAUUGGUCAGGCUUAAUUGUCUGUACUGGUGAGAUGAAUCUCUACCUUCUGAGGAACUUUCAUGCCAUUUAUUUGGUGUGAUGGGAAAUCAGGACUGUUACUUUGAAAAAUUAGAGUGUUUAAAGCAGGCUAACGUCUGAAUACAUUAGCAUGGAAUAAUGAAAUAGGACGGAUUGAUUCUAUUUCGUUGGUUUCUAGGGUCACCGUAAUGAUUAAUAGGGAUAGUUGGGGGCUAUUAGUAUUCAAUUGUCAGAGGUGAAAUUCUUGGAUUUAUUGAAGACUAACUAC